rnacentral:rRNA from 1 species
CAGGGAAUAUUAGUAAUGGGCGAAAGCCUGAACUAGCUACGCCGCGUGUGCGAAGAAGGCCUUCGGGUUGUAAAGCACUUUUUGAGAGGAUGAGGAAGGACGGUACUCUCAGAAUAAGUCUCGGCUAACUACGUGCCAGCAGCCGCGGUAACACGUAGGAGGCGAACGUUAUCCGGAUUUACUGGGCGUAAAGCGCGUGUAGGUGGUUUGGUAAGUAGGGCGUGAAAGCUCCUGGCUCAACUGGGAGAGGCCGUUCUAAACUGCCGAACUAGAGGAUGGUAGAGGGAGGUGGAAUUCCGGGUGUAGCGGUGGAAUGCGCAGAUACCCGGAGGAACACCAGUGGCGAAAGCGGCCUCCUGGACCAUUCCUGACACUCAGACGCGAAAGCUAGGGUAGCAAACGG